ACACGCAUAGCUCAAUGGCAGAGCAGACAGUAUUGCCUGACGCGGGUUCGAAUCCCGCUGCGUGCA
rnacentral:tRNA from 1 species